GAUGAACGCUGGCGGCGUGCCUAAUACAUGCAGGUCGAGCGAACGGACGAGAAGCUUGCUUCUCUGAUGUUAGCGGCGGACGGGUGAGUAACACGUGGAUAACCUACCUAUAAGACUGGGAUAACUUCGGGAAACCGGAGCUAAUACCGGAUGAUAUUUUGAACCGCAUGGUUCAAAAGUGAAAGACGGUCUUGCUGUCACUUAUAGAUGGAUCCGCGCUGCAUUAGCUAGUUGGUAAGGUAACGGCUUACCAAGGCAACGAUGCAUAGCCGACCUGAGAGGGUGAUCGGCCACACUGGAACUGAGACACGGUCCAGACUCCUACGGGAGGCAGCAGUAGGGAAUCUUCCGCAAUGGGCGAAAGCCUGACGGAGCAACGCCGCGUGAGUGAUGAAGGUCUUCGGAUCGUAAAACUCUGUUAUUAGGGAAGAACAUAUGUGUAAGUAACUGUGCACAUCUUGACGGUACCUAAUCAGAAAGCCACGGCUAACUACGU
rnacentral:rRNA from 1 species